CUCCCCGGAAGGUGCGUGUGCGGCUUAGGAGCUCUCUCCCGGGGGAGUCGGGCAGGGCGGUGUUGAGGAUCUUGGCGGCCACCGCGGCCGUCCUCGUCCCCAGUUUGGAGUCUGGCUUUUCGGCGCCAUUCUCCCAGGCCCACGUGCUCCCGUUCCUUAAGGGGCGCCCUCGGCCGUUUCUGCUCCCGUCGCGCCGCUACCUGGCGCUGCUCACCUGUGAUCGCACACACGUGGCACCCAGGCUCCCAGCUCUGUUACCUGCCAGGGCCGGGGGAGGGCUUCUUGGCGUCUCCCAGCACCGCCACCCCUGCGCCUCCGGGGCGGGCUGCCGCCGCGCUCCGCAGCCCUGUCUGCAUUUCCCGCCUUCCUUCGCCUACCGCUCUGUUGCUAGCACCUCAGAGGACCCACGGAUGCGCGGAGCUGCAGGGGCCGCCCCUCAGACCCCUAAUUUUGGCAGAGGGGAAGCAGAAGCAAGUUUUCAGACAUGUUCAUAUGUUGAAUGAAUGGAAUCUCUCAGCCCUGAGAUGAUGUUGAAAUGCAAGAGAUGGAGACACUGGUAGGUAGACCUUGCCCCCGUGGAAACUCCUGGAGGAAGUUGGAAGUCAUCAGAGACACAAUGGGCUUCGAAAGUGUACACCUGAACAAUCAAGAUAAUAUCUUAUUCCUGUGGAUGGAGAUCCCUUUUUCAAUGAAGCCAAUGACUCCAAGAAAAACAUUAUCUAAGCCCAGAUAAGUAAAAUGAAAGUUAAUAUCAGCUUUUCAUUUCUUAAAAGUGCCAAAAAUGAGCCAGGGUUUAUUUUUCAACAAAGGCAAAUAAUUUAAGUAACUUCACUUGACAAAAGAUAAUGCACUGCGAGGUGGUACUGUAGCUCUGUGACCUGAGCAAAUACGCAAAGUGUGAUACAGGAACCACAUGACUUCACAGAGCUGUUGUUGGUAACGAAAUAUAUUAAGAUGUGCAAAGCGAUAAACAUGGCUUCUGGGCCAGAGCAGGGUGUGAAGGAAAUGACAAACAUUAUUCAAAGUUGGCACAGGCUAAGUGGAGAUGGGUACGGAGAGGGUCAUCCCUUCCUAAGUAGCCAGCAGGGAAGGUAAGCGCAGGGGCAGCCAUGGAAGUCGGGGACAAGCCAUACCUAGAGCUUUUUUAUACAUUUUAUCAAAUGAAAAGCAUUUCAUGGAUAAUUAUGAAUAAAUAUGAAUCUUGGGAUGUCUAUUUCUAUUUUAUCUAUUUGGAUCACAUUGACGAUGGCUUUUUGCCAGUUUGUCAAAUUAUUAUGCUUCAACAAGAAAAAUCCAUUAAUUCUGUAGCUUUGUGAUAGUCAUAAUUUUCUCAAGAUUGCCAAAUCAUAAAGUGAGUUUGCAUUAAAGCUGUACUCAAACUUUAACAUAAUCUGUGAUUACAUCAAGUAGUGAUUGAGAAGGGUUGAAACUUAGUGAGCAAAUUGUCUUUGUGAUUUGUAAAAUCUUAUUUCAGUUUGGUGUGUUAUUUCAUGUUAUGCUAACAUUAGCUAAUAUUUUAUAUAACUUGUGAAUAACUUUUAAUAGAAAAAUAUGUUGAAAGAAAAGGAUUUUGAUAUAUGUGUCACAGCAAGUCACUUACUAGAUGAUCCCCCUCUGAUUAUCCAAUGGCUUCUCCAUUGCCUGGUCCAAUUCCCAAAUCUCAGUACUCAUAUUACUUGACUUAUGUAUGGGAUGCCCAUAUAAUUCAUUAUCGGACUGGGCUGCAUUUCAGAGUAAAAGAGGGCGCUAUUAGUAACAACACCAGAACAGAACCAGAGGAAGCUGGGAUGGUCCUGAGCAAGUCAGGGUAAAUGGUUACCCUACCUACCAGCAACAUUUGAUAGAGUAAACCACUAUUUCUUUCUUAAUGCACUUUCUCCACUCAGUUCUAAAACAUCAUACUCUCUUGGUUUUCUUCCUACUUCACAAGCCUCUCAUUCUUGACCUACUUGGAUGGUUCUUCAUCUUCUCCCCAACCUUUCAACGUUGAAACCUCCUAGGACUCAAUCCUUGGUCCCCUUCUCUCUCUCUUUUUUUCCCCACAUGCACUCUUCUGGUAAGCUUAUCCAAUCUCAUGGCUUUAAAUAUAAUCUGUAUGCAGAUGUGAUGGUUUUAAAAGUAUGUCCAGGAAUCCUUUGGAAUAUCUGUCCUCAAAAGGUGAAGCUUAAUUUGACCUGCCUUGAGUGUGAACGGGAUUUUUUGAUUGGCUUCUACUUAAUAGAGUAAGGCAGAAAUAAUUGAAGGUCAUUUCCAAGUUUAGGUUAUAAAGAGGCAUCAGCUUCCAUUUUGAAUAAUUCCUCACUGUCUCUUGGGUCACUCAUCCUGAGCUAAGCCAGAUACUAUGUUGUGAGAGGCCCACAUGGUGAGGAUCCAAGGCUACCAACAGGCAUGUGGGUGAACAUGGAAGUGUAUCUUCUGAGAUCUGCCAACUGCUAUGUAAGUGAACUUGGAAGCUGAUCUUUCCCCAAACUAACCUUCAAAUGAGACUGCAGCCCUACCAACACCUUGAUUGCAGUCUCAAAGCCAGAACUAUCUGGCUGAGUGGCUCCCAGACUCCUGAUCCACAGACACCUUGGGGGUAACAAAUGAUUGUUGUUGUAAACUGCUACGUUUUGAGUAAUUUAUUACCUAGCAACACAUAAUACAGUCAAUUCCCGUAUCCAUCUGUCUCCCCACUUUUUCUUCCAGAUGUCUAACAAUCAUCUCAAACUCAACAGGUCCAAAACUGGACUGCUUUAUCUCACACAUCCAGAACCUACCCCAUCCCAGUCUUUCCCAUUGCAGUAGAAGGCCACUCCAUCCUUUUGGUUUCUUGGACCAAGAGAUUUUAGUCCUUGUUUGCUCUCUCUCUGCCUCAAAUUUGGCAGAUUGGCCUUAUCUCUGAUAAGGGCCACCUUUGUUUGAUAACAAAGUUUGUUCAGAAUCCAGCCACCUUGGACUACACUUAUUGCACCUUCUCUGGGCUUAGCCGCCAUUGUCCCUUGCCUGGAUUACUGCAGUGAUCUCCUAACAGCUCUCCUCCUUUCUGCCCUUGUCAUCUCCCCUGACCCUAGGCUAUUUGCAGCAAAGAAGCCAGUGUACUUCCUUUAAAGCACACAUGAGAUCACAGUACUGCUCUGCUACAAUGUUUUCAAUGGCUUACCAUCUCACUUGGCCAAAAAAGACAAAUCAGGUCCUCCUAAGGGCCCACCAGGCCCUGCUUGACCUGGCACCUGUUACCUGUUGACUGCCUCUCAGCCUCCCACACUCGUUUCCUGGCCCAUUGGCCACCUGGCUGCUCCUUUACCAUGCCAGGCACACUCCAGCCUUCAGGCCUUUGCUUUUCUGUUUUCUCUUCCAGGAAGGCUCUUUCUCCUGAUGCCUCGGCUAACCCUUUCAUUUCCUUCAUAUGUCUGCUCAAAACUGCCUUUUGCAAUGAGGCCUGUAUUGUUCACUCCCUUCACUAUUGGAACUGCCUCCCCUCUGGUAUGAAUUGCCAGUUCCUUUUACGCAAUUCUAUUUUCCCCCCAUUGCAAUUUCCAACAUACUAGAUCAUUUGUUAUGUUUCUUAUCUGAUAUUUUCUAUUGCCUCUUGCUAGAAAACAAGCCCCGUAAGAGCCCCAUAAGAUAUUUUCUAUUGCCCCGUAAGUGCCUAGAAUAGUACCUUACAUAUAGACAUGCUCAACAAAAAUUUGUUGAAUAGAUGAAUGAAUGGUUAUAUGAGUAGUGCCAUCAUCUGGGGGAAGAAACAUUGAGGCCAAUAACUCAAGAAGAAAUAAUUUUUAUGGAUCUUACACACCAGACCAAAAUGGCAAAUAUCAGUUUAUACACUUCCAUUAGUCUGCUUAUUUGCCGAACUUGGCCCUUGGUGGUUUCCUUCAGGGCAGCAGAAAUGAAGUGUGCAGGCUCUGAAACCUGAAUGCCUAAGUCCUGGGUUCAGCUCCACCACUCACUGGCUUGGUGACCUCGGGAAGCUGCAUAACUCCCAUGCCUCAUUUGCCUAUCUAUAAAACAGAAAAUCACCCUUUAAUGUUGAAGUUUCCAAGGGCUCACACUGUGGUCUCCUUUCCUUUUUUCUUCAUACUCACUCUUUUGGUGAUCUUAUCUGGUGUCAUUUGGUUUCAAAUAUGAUCUGUAUGUCGGUGAGAUGGUUUUAAAAAUAUGUUCUUGAUUCCCUCAGUAUAUCUUCUCCCAAAAUGUGAAGCUUAAUUUCCUCCUUUUGAGUGUGGCUGGACUUGUUGGCUUAUGUCUAAGAAGAGACUCUGGUACAAGGGAUGGGAUGUCACUUCCUACCUGAUGGGAAUUUUUCGAGAACUAAUCAAGUUACUACAAGUGAAGGGCUCUGAACAGUGCCUGGCACAAAGUGAGCAGACACUGUUGUGUUUGUGAUAUUCAGCAGGUUUGCUCUCCGGGUGGCCCUAAAAUUUCUCUUUCCAAAUGUGCUGCUUUGGAUAAGGCUUGAUGAGUAAAUUUUUGAAAAGCAUGGGAAAUAAAUAGAUAUCUGUUAUUUUAGUGAACAGACACAAGCAAUCUCAAUUUUCAGUCCUGCUGGAGCCAGGAUGGGCUAUGUCAACGUGUGAAUGAGGGCAUGUGGUGAAAUCUACAAUGAAGUCACAUUUUUCAGCCCAAAACAGUUAAAAUCAUUUAAGUUUAUAGAAAACAUGGGAAAUGCAUUUAUAUAGCUCUUAUUUAAAAAAUAAUAUUGAAGAUGUAUCUAUUUUAUUCUGAAAUAUGAUUUUUGGAAAAAAGAUCUGUGAAGCAAAGGGAAGGUUAUUAAAUAUUGGUAAAUAUGUCAAGCAAAGGUGUUAAGCUUGAAAGUUCCUUAAGUAUGUUAAUGACGUUAAUGUUAAAAUACAUUAAAUUAAUAAAAGAGGGCAGCUGGGCUAGCCAUGAGGACAUAUGACCUGUGCAGUCACGUGGGUCCCCAUGUUCCAAAGGUACUUAUGUGUGGUCUCAUGCUCUGCUCUUUGAACAAGGCACCCCAUAUUUUCAUUUCAGCCUGGGUUCCGCAAAUUAUGUAAGCCAGUACUGGAGUUGGUAAUUAUCAACUGUGAACUUCGACUGCCUCAGGGGUAAAAGGAGAUUUCAAAACCAUCUGGGCAGGUUAUGAAAUACACUUAACUUCUUUGUAUCUCAUACUAUUUAUAGUGAAACGCAACCGAAAGCAUUUUUCCUCUGGCAGUGGAAGCAAAGGGUAUGUUCUUGUCAAUAAAUUUCUGUGGCUACCAUAGAUCUUCACUCACCGAUGCUAAUAACACAGAUCUGAAAAUAACUAUGUGGCUCAUACAUAGUUCCACAAUACUUUAAAAAUCAGACAUCAAAUCCUGUAAAAAUACAAUAACACUUCUUUAAAAUAGCUCCUCAUUAUACAUAUUUGAAUAUGCUUCCAAAUACAUCCUAAAAACAUACAGAACAUUCUACUCUAAAUGAGAUAAAUUGGAUACAUUCCCCAAACACAUAGGAGUUUCAGUCUUUGAAUUAAAAAACAAAAACACCAACAAAAACUAAAGUAAACUCAAGAGUUAGCCAUCAUUCUUUCCCUCUGUCCAUCAAGGGGGGCAGACUAAUAAACUUUCCUGCUACAUUAUAAACUCUUUGAGAGCUUGGGCUCUCUGUCUUACAUCGCCAGAGUGCAGCAGGAAGCCAUAGGCAGAGGAGACCCUUCAACCCACGCCAGUAUUGAUUAGCUACUACAUUAUUAACAAUUAACUCUUAGGCUAGUAGAGGAGAUUGAGAUCUCUUCUCUUUUUGGACUGAGGGUGAGGCCUCAGAACCCUUCCUGGAAAACUCUUCAGAAAGGGUUCCUCUUCAUAGCAAACACAGAACAUCUGUGCCAGUCCUGUUCUAACCUUUUACAUGUACUCAUUCUUUUCCUCCUCCUCUCAAGCCAUCCUGUAAGAUAAAUACCAUUUUAUCCCCAUUUUACAGACCAGGAAAUCAAGGCACGUAGCGCGUAGGUUAUAGUUAGCAAAUGGCAGAGCUGAGAGAUUCAGUCUCAGCAGUGUUGUCCCCAAGCGUAUGAUUUGUGCAUUGGGCCACAUCUCCAAGCAAGGGUUCGAGUUAGCCACAGGAAGAGGGGUCGGUGGUCAGAGCAGCAGGGACGGAGGUAAGGAGGCAAGAGGAGCCAGACCCACUGGGAGGGAUGAAGGUGGGUCACAGGGCCAGGCCACGGAGCCACGGAGAGUGUGGGGACAUGUGAUGUAUCUUCCAAAGUGCUGUCGCCCUGAUUCUCCUUUGGGGAAGUGACAGGGAAGGAUUCCUGUAUUCAUAUCCUUUUAAAGCAGUGGCGCGAAGGCUCAGUCCUGGACCCGCGGGCUGGCUCUGACGCCACGUGGCAGGUCCGCGGCGAGGUCUGGCCCACGGCGCCCCCUGCGUGUGCGAGGUGUGCUCGCAGCUCGCUGUCCUUUGCAACAGACGCCGGCGGCCCGCACUCCUUCCCUCCCCCGCUCCACUGCGGGGACGAUGAGCCGGCUU